rnacentral:rRNA from 1 species
UCCUACGGGGCGCAGCAGUGGGGGAUAUUGGACAAUGGGGGAAACCCUGAUCCAGCGAUGCCGCGUGAGGGAAGAAGGUUUUCGGAUUGUAAACCUCUGUGGCGGGGGACGAUAAUGACGGUACCCCUUUAGGAAGCCACGGCUAACUACGUGCCAGCAGCCGCGGUAAUACGUAGGGGGCAAGCGUUAUCCGGAUUUACUGGGUGUAAAGGGAGCGUAGACGGCAGCGCAAGUCUGGAGUGAAAUGCCGGGGCCCAACCCCGGAACUGCUCUGGAAACUGUGAAGCUGGAGUGCAGGAGAGGUA